rnacentral:rRNA from 1 species
AGCUCCAAUAGCGUAUAUUAAAGUUGUUGCGGUUAAAAAGCUCGUAGUUGGAUCUGUGUCUCACGCUGUCGGUUCACCGUUUUGUCGGUGUUUAACUAACAUGUCGUGGUACGUCCUGCCGGUUGGCUGUGUUGCGCUUCCCGUAUAGGUUGCGAUUUAACAUUUGCCAGUACCAAUCCUGUCGCGGUGCUCUUUACCGAGUGUCGAGGCGGGCCGGCACGUUUACCUUGAACAAAUUUGAGUGCUUAAAGCAGGCUAUAUCGCCGGAAAACCGUGUGCAUGGAAUAAUAUAAUAGGACCGCGGUUCUAUUUUGUUGGUUUUCAGAGUCCGAGGUAAUGAUUAAUAGGGACCGGCGGGGGCAUUAGUAUUGCGACGUUAGAGGUGAAAUUCUUGGAUCGUCGCAAGACUAACCUAAGCGAAAGCAUUUGCCAAGGAUGCUUCCU